rnacentral:rRNA from 1 species
GAGGCAUGCUGGAGGUAUCAGAAGUGCGAAUGCUGACAUAAGUAACGAUAAAGCGGGUGAAAAGCCCGCUCGCCGGAAGACCAAGGGUUCCUGUCCAACGUUAAUCGGGGCAGGGUGAGUCGACCCCUAAGGCGAGGCCGAAAGGCGUAGUCGAUGGGAAACAGGUUAAUAUUCCUGUACUUGGUGUUACUGCGAAGGGGGGACGGAGAAGGCUAUGUUGGCCGGGCGACGGUUGUCCCGGUUUAAGCGUGUAGGCUGGUUUUCCAGGCAAAUCCGGAAAAUCAAGGCUGAGGCGUGAUGACGAGGCACUACGGUGCUGAAGCAACAAAUGCCCUGCUUCCAGGAAAAGCCUCUAAGCAUCAGGUAACAUCAAAUCGUACCCCAAACCGACACAGGUGGUCAGGUAGAGAAUACCAAGGCGCUUGAGAGAACUCGGGUGAAGGAACUAGGCAAAAUGGUGCCGUAACUUCGGGAGAAGGCACGCUGAUAUGUAGGUGAAGUCCCUCGCGGAUGGAGCUGAAAUCAGUCGAAGAUACCAGCUGGCUGCAACUGUUUAUUAAAAACACAGCACUGUGCAAACACGAAAGUGGACGUAUACGGUGUGACGCCUGCCCGGUGCCGGAAGGUUAAUUGAUGGGGUCAGCGCAAGCGAAGCUCUUGAUCGAAGCCCCGGUAAACGGCGGCCGUAACUAUAACGGUCCUAAGGUAGCGAAAUUCCUUGUCGGGUAAGUUCCGACCUGCACGAAUGGCGUAAUGAUGGCCAGGCUGUCUCCACCCGAGACUCAGUGAAAUUGAACUCGCUGUGAAGAUGCAGUGUACCCGCGGCAAGACGGAAAGACCCCGUGAACCUUUACUAUAGCUUGACACUGAACAUUGAGCCUUGAUGUGUAGGAUAGGUGGGAGGCUUUGAAGUGUGGACGCCAGUCUGCAUGGAGCCGACCUUGAAAUACCACCCUUUAAUGUUUGAUGUUCUAACGUGGACCCGUGAUCCGGGUUGCGGACAGUGUCUGGUGGGUAGUUUGACUGGGGCGGUCUCCUCCUAAAGAGUAACGGAGGAGCACGAAGGUUGGCUAAUCCUGGUCGGACAUCAGGAGGUUAGUGCAAUGGCAUAAGCCAGCUUGACUGCGAGCGUGACGGCGCGAGCAGGUGCGAAAGCAGGUCAUAGUGAUCCGGUGGUUCUGAAUGGAAGGGCCAUCGCUCAACGGAUAAAAGGUACUCCGGGGAUAACAGGCUGAUACCGCCCAAGAGUUCAUAUCGACGGCGGUGUUUGGCACCUCGAUGUCGGCUCAUCACAUCCUGGGGCUGAAGUAGGUCCCAAGGGUAUGGCUGUUCGCCAUUUAAAGUGGUACGCGAGCUGGGUUUAGAACGUCGUGAGACAGUUCGGUCCCUAUCUGCCGUGGGCGCUGGAGAACUGAGGGGGGCUGCUCCUAGUACGAGAGGACCGGAGUGGACGCAUCACUGGUGUUCGGGUUGUCAUGCCAAUGGCACUGCCCGGUAGCUAAAUGCGGAAGAGAUAAGUGCUGAAAGCAUCUAAGCACGAAACUUGCCCCGAGAUGAGUUCUCCCUGACUCCUUGAGAGUCCUGAAGGAACGUUGAAGACGACGACGUUGAUAGGCCGGGUGUGUAAGCGCAGCGAUGCGUUGAGCUAACCGGUACUAAUGAACCGUGAGG